rnacentral:rRNA from 1 species
UACGUAGGGGGCAAGCGUUGUCCGGAAUCACUGGGCGUAAAGCGCACGUAGGCGGAUUUGUAAGUCAGGGGUGAAAUCCCGGGGCUCAACCUCGGAACUGCCUUUGAUACUGCGAAUCUUGAGUCCGAUAGAGGUGGGUGGAAUUCCUAGUGUAGAGGUGAAAUUCGUAGAUAUUAGGAAGAACACCAGUGGCGAAGGCGGCCCACUGGAUCGGUACUGACGCUGAGGUGCGAAAGCGUGGGGAGCAAACAGG